CACGCCGUAAACGAUGGAUGCUAGUUUUUACCCAUAUCGACCUGGGUAGAAACGAAGUUAACGCGUUAAGCAUCCCGCCUGGGGAGUACGAGCGCAAGCUUAAAACUCAAAGGAAUUGACGGGGACCCGCACAAGCGGUGGAGCGUGUUGUUUAAUUCGAAGAUAAGCGAAGAACCUUACCAAGGCUUGACUUCCUGCGAAGGUUUCCGAAAGGAAAUUGUGCCUUUUAGGAGCGCAGUGACAGGUGC
rnacentral:rRNA from 1 species